GCUGGAGUCACGUACUCCUGUAAGACGACAGAACCCUGAGGAGGUGGAGGAGAGCAGGAGGUGGAGCAGAGCAGGAGGAGGAGCAGGAGGAGGAGAGCAGGAGGUGGAGAGCAGGAGGUGGAGAGCAGGAGGUGGAGCAGAGCAGGAGGAGGUGGAGCAGAGCAGGAGGAGGAGCAGGAGGUGGAGAGCAGGAGGUGGAGAGCAGGAGGUGGAGCAGAGCAGGAGGUGGAGCAGAGCAGGGGGUGGAGGAGG